AUGAGCAGGAGCAGUGAGAGGAGCAGGAGCAGUGAGAGGAGCAGGAGCAGUGAGAGGAGCAGGAGCAGUGAGAGGAGCAGUGAGAGGAGCAGGAGCAGUGAGAUGAGCAGUGAGAGGAGCAGGAGCAGUGAGAGGUGCAAGAGCAGUGAGAUGAGCAGGAGCAGUGAGAGGAGCAGUAAGAGGAGCAGUGAGAGAUGCAGUGAGAGGAGCAGUGAGAGGAGCAGGAGCAGUGAGAGAUGCAGUGAGAGGAGCAGUGAGAGGAGCAGUGAGAGGAGCAGGAGCAGUGAGAGGAGCAGGAGCAGUGAGAGGAGCAGUGAGAGGAGCAGGAGCAGUGAGAGGAGCAGGAGCAUUGAGAGGAGCAGUGAGAGGAGCAGGAGCAGUGAGAGGAGCAGGAGCAUUGAGAGGAGCAGUGAGAUGAGCAGGAGCAGUGAGAGGAGCAGUGAGAGGAGCAGGAGCAGUGAGAGGAGCAGGAGCAGUGAGAGGAGCAGUGAGAGGAGCAGGAGCAGUGAGAGGAGCAGGAGCAGUGAGAGGUGCAAGAGCAGUGAGAUGAGCAGGAGCAGUGAGAGGAGCAGUAAGAGGAGCAGUGAGAGGUGCAGGAGCAGUGAGAGAAGCAGGAGCAGUGAGAGGAGCAGGAGCAGUGAGAGGAGCAGGAGCAGUGAGAGGAGCAGGAGCAGUGAGAUGAGCAGUGAGAGGAGCAGGAGCAGUGAGAGGUGCAAGAGCAGUGAGAUGAGCAGGAGCAGUGAGAGGAGCAGUAAGAGGAGCAGUGAGAGAUGCAGUGAGAGGAGCAGUGAGAGGAGCAGGAGCAGUGAGAGGAGCAGGAGCAUUGAGAGGAGCAGUGAGAUGAGCAGGAGCAGUGAGAGGAGCAGGAGCAGUGAGAGGAGCAGUGAGAGGAGCAGGAGCAGUGAGAUGAGCAGUGAGAGGAGCAGGAGCAGUGAGAGGUGCAAGAGCAGUGAGAUGAGCAGGAGCAGUGAGAGGAGCAGUAAGAGGAGCAGUGAGAGGUGCAGGAGCAGUGAGAGAAGCAGGAGCAGUGAGAGGAGCAGGAGCAGUGAGAGGAGCAGGAGCAGUGAGAGAUGCAGUGAGAGGAGCAAGAGCAGUGAGAGGAGCAGGAGCAGUGAGAGAUGCAGUGAGAGGAGCAGGAGCAGUGAGAGAUGCAGUGAGAGGAGCAGGAGCAGUGAGAGGAGCAGUAAGAGGAGCAGUGAGAGGUGCAGGAGCAGUGAGAGAAGCAGGAGCAGUGAGAGAUGCAGUGAGAGGAGCAGGAGCAGUGAGAGGAGCAGUAAGAGGAGCAGUGAGAGGUGCAGGAGCAGUGAGAGAAGCAGGAGCAGUGAGAGGAGCAGGAGCAGUGAGAGAUGCAGUGAGAGGAGCAAGAGCAGUGAGAGGAGCAGGAGCAGUGAGAGAUGCAGUGAGAGGAGCAGGAGCAGUGAGAGAUGCAGUGAGAGGAGCAAGAGCAAUACUGUCAAACCUUAUCUGUUCUAUCAUACCGUGUUUCUACUGUACCUCCUGCAGUAA
rnacentral:lncRNA from 1 species